rfam:Octopus bimaculoides Scaffold51861_contig_11, whole genome shotgun sequence.
GUAUAUAUAAUAUCUACGGCAGUACAUAUUCUAAAUUUGGAACGAUACAGAAAAGAUUAGCAUGACCUCUGCGCAAGGAUGACACGCAAAUUCGUGAAGCGUUCCAUAUUUUU